GAUGAAGAACGUAGCGAAAUGCGAUAAGUAGUGUGAAUUGCAGAAUUCAGUGAAUCAUCGAAUCUUUGAACGCACAUUGCGCCCCUUGGUAUCCCUAGGGGCAUGCCUGUUCGAGCGUCAUUUCACCACUCAAGCCUGGCUUGGUGUUGGGCGACGUCCCCUUUGGGGACGCGCCUCGAAACGCUCGGCGGCGUGGCACCGGCUUUAAGCGUAGCAGAAUCUUUCGCUUUGGAAGUCGGGGCCCCGUCUGCCGGAAGACCUACUCGCAAGGUUGACCUCGGAUCAGGCAGGGAUACCCGCUGAACUUAAGCAUAUCAAUAAGCGGAGGA
rnacentral:misc_RNA from 1 species